GUGGGUGUAGCUCAGUGGUAAAGCGCGUGCUUAGCAUGCAAGAGGUCCUGAGUUCAAUCCCCAGUACCUCCU
rnacentral:tRNA from 1 species